UACGGGGGGAGCAAGCGUUGUUCGGAUUUACUGGGCGUAAAGGGCGCGUAGGCGGCGCAACAAGUCACUUGUGAAAUCUCCGGGCUUAACCCGGAGGGGUCAAGUGAUACUGUCGUGCUAGAGUGCGGAAGGGGCUACUGGAAUUCUCGGUGUAGCGGUGAAAUGCGUAGAUAUCGAGAGGAACACCUGCGGCGAAGGCGGGUAGCUGGGCCGACACUGACGCUGAUGCGCGAAAGCCAGGGGAGCGAACGGG
rnacentral:rRNA from 1 species